ACGAGUUAGGGUCUUCUAGGCCCGAUCUCCCAACCCUUUGUUUACCAAACCAUUUUGUUGCUUCGGCGAGCCCGUCUUCACGGACCGCCGGGGGACCUGUUCAAGGACCCCUGGCCAGCGCUCGUCGGUGGCCCAAACCUUUAAAUUCUUAACUAAACGUGUCAUGUCUAAGUACUAUUUUUUAAUUAAAAGCA
rnacentral:misc_RNA from 1 species